rnacentral:lncRNA from 1 species
CUUCUGCCUUCAGGACUGCCAGAAAGCAUUGUGUCUGGUUGCCGCAAGGCAGGGGAGUUGCCGUUAGUUCUCCAGCGUUGCUGCUGGGCAGGAGCGGGUUUUUAGAACCCAGGCAUGGUUGGUAGGAAAGUGUUGUCUCGCGGGCAGCGUUGUCUCUCUGUCCUGACACUUGCUUUGACAACGGGCACGCGUUGAAACGAGAGAGGUUCCAACUGGAUGUGAGGAGAACCUUGCUGGCUGCGAGGACAGUGACGCGUCGGAACGGGUUGCCCGAGGAGGUUGUGCAGCCUCCCUCCUUGGCGGCUUUGAAGAACCGACCGAGUAAAGCCGUGAGCAACCCAGUCUGGCCUCGUAGCUGAGCGUGCUUUGGGGAGGUGUUAGGCGGAGAGACCUCCUGAGGCCCCUUCCGACCUGAGUUCUCCUGUGCUUCCGUGUAGUUGGCUCUGCUUUCCUUCWGCCUGUGGGAAAGGGGGAAGUAAUUGUUUUGGGAGCAAAUAGGGCUGCAAAUAAUGCCAGCGAAAUGUCUGUAUCGGCUGAUAGAUUUCCUAUCGUCUUCUGGAUGCUCUAGGACCCCCUUAUGCUUGCUGCUUCUGCUGGGGACAUGAGCGUGAUAGAAGUUCUUCUUCGCCAUGGUGCUGAUCUUUCCCAGGAAGACRUUCUUGGAUGGACAGCGGAGGAUUACGCUAGAACUUCUGGACAUGCUCGUGUUAGUCAACACCUGGUAGACUCUGCAGUCGGGGAAAAGGUGGGAGAAGCUUCUGCAGGCGGCGCAAAGGGCGUGCCAGCGCUUAGCACGCCUCCCGGAGCAGGAGCUGCUGGCUUUGCAUUGGGUGCCUGCGCUCUGGCCAGCGGAGCGAGAGACGACGUUUCCCACGGAUACUUUGUAAGAAUGUUGGAGGAAGAGGAGAGUGAUGACAGCUGUCCUGCUUCUGAGGAAGAAAACCGCAGUUCAGCUGCUAAGUUGUGGUGUAUGGCAUUGGGACUGCGCUGUGAUGAAGACUCCGAGUGUGGUGCUGGAACGCAGGCUGUACUGCUGGAGAUGCAGGAAGAAUCACCCGAACGGAAGGGAGAGGAGGCUACUGGUGGUCSUCAAGUUGCGGAUGCUGCAGAAGCCCCUGCUGGUGUGAGAGGACAGUUGCUGAGUCUCCUCCAAGACAAAGCUUCCUACAAAGGAACAAGAAGAAUGAGGAGAAGAGAUAUGAAGCAGCUCUCCUGA